CCAUCAUCCCUGUCACUCCAUCCUUCCAGUACAGCCAUCCAGGAAUUUCGAAGCUAUGAAGUCCCAGAGAAGGAGUCAGAGGUGACUUCCAGCAGUGUCCUGCUGGAGCACGUCUGAGGAGACGUCCUGAGGAGCACGCCUCCAAACCUUGCAAACAUAAACCAGGUCAAGCUGUACACACAAAGCAUCCCAACCGUGCUUACAGGAUGCCUAGCAGACAGUAAGACUGACUCCUCCAAAUAAAGAUUUGCCUUCAGAAGGGAGGGGAUCUACCAGCCCAUUACACACUCUCAAAAUAGCUGCAUUUUCAAAGCACACUUCAGCUGUCAGCUGCAAUGCCCCCCCACUUGCCCCAAGCCUCCAGGACACCUGCUGCCAGGCAGGACCAGGAUGAGGCGGUGAUCCCACCCGUGGUGCUGCCCCAUCACUUCAGCAAACAUGCUAGCAAGGAUGCCCAGA
rnacentral:lncRNA from 1 species